GUCUGAUGGGGGUAGGCAGGCUGUUCCUAAAGAAAGCCUCGAGAAGUCCUGAAAGCGUGAGUUAGCUGUAAGGGUGCGAGCAGCGGACAGGAGAAGGGCACCGGAAGAGCGGAGAGAACGAGAAGGGGCAUAUCUAUGGAUAAGGGAAGAAAUGUAAGAGGAGCUAGAGUUGGUUAGAACUUUAUAGGUAAGGUUUAGUAUUUUGAAUUGACACCUAUAGGAUACAGGAAGCCAGUGUAAGGAUCAACAGAGGGGCGAGGUAUGGGAG